GACGGCCCUGGUCCCAGCCCAGCCCCAGACAGAGGUCUCCUGGAACCUUCGGAAUCUCUGCCCUCCACAUUCCGCGCCGGGGUUCCGACUCUGUGAGUCACGCUGCCUGGCCCAGGUCCCGGCUGGCUCUUCACACCCAGCGGGCGUCUAUGGGCUCAGGCCCAGGUCUCCUGCAAGCUCUCCACCCUGCGGACCCAGCACACCGUGCAGGGCCCUGAGCUUGGGCCUUCCGUGGGAUGAACUCUCUCGGACCAGCUGCACAGGCCGGGAAGUUGAAGCUGCCUGCUGCCUUUCUCCCCAUGGCUGCUUCAGAGCCUCCCUGCCUCCUCCUCCCAGGGCCGGAAGCCAGCAGGACUUGCUGAUGUGCAAAACUGAGAGACAGGUCAGAGGGGAGGUGCUGAGCGGGCGGAGCCGUGUGGGCAGCAGAGACCGAGCUGGGGUCAGGGUGGAGGCUCAGAGGCGGUGACCAUCCGGGAUGAGACCGUGAGGGAGAGGACAGAGGCCAGCCCAGGUGGCUUCCCUGGAAGCCUCUGGAAGGGGCAGGAGUCUGGAUUUGCCUUGGGGCACCACCGAUCCAGACAGCCCUGAGCAGGAGCAGAGACAGAGGCCCAGCCGGGCUUGGUGGCCUGUAGCCUCCACAGCACAGGAGGGUUGCAGAUUCCAGACCAGCCUUGGCAAUUUGGCGACUUAGAGCUUGGCUCAAAAUAAAAACUGAAACCGGGUGGGAGCAGGGUGGGGUGGUGCACACCUAUGACCCCAGUACUUGGGGAAGCUGAGGGAGGAGGAGCUCAAGUUCCAGGCCAGCCAGGGCAAUUUAGCAAGACUCUGUCUCAAACCACCAAUGCCUGGCCUGGUGGGGGCACCUGUAGUGCUGGGAGGGUUAACGGGGGGGGGGGGGGCCGGAUUGGAAGUUCGAGUCCAGAUCAGUCCUGCGAGGACUGAGCCCUACACCAUGCUAUUUACAGGCUUUUGGAGUGGUUCUCCUUUCUGAGCAGACAGGUUUAGGGCCCCAUGAUCUCCACCUGCAGUCAGUAUUCCCUGUAACACACUAGCCUGCAUUGUACUCAAGAGUCACCAGGAUUUCUGCUUUUUAUUUCUUCGUUGUUAUUUGAGAUGGGGUCUUCCAGGCUGGCCUCAAACUCACAAUCCUCCUGCCUCAGCUUCCCAGGUGCUGGGAUUACAGGCCUGUAUCACUAUGCCUAGCAAGAAUCACCUGGUUUUGAGAAUGGCUGUAGCAUGAAAGAAAGGAAACAAAAAGGAGACCCCAAAAGUAAUAUGAAAACUUGUCACUAUGCGCUGGCUGUGGUGGUGCAGGCCCACAGCACUCUGUGAUCCCAGUGCUCUGGGAGGCUGAAGCAGGAGGACUGCAAGUCCCAAGACCAGCCUGGGCAACUUAGUGAUUUAGCAAAACCCUGCCUCCAAAUAAAAAAGAAUAGUGCUGGGCUGUAGCUCAGUGUGAAAGCCCUGGGUUCAGUCACCAGCACCACACACACACAAAUUAUUAUUAUUAUUGUCCUGAGAGAGAUCCGUGGCCUGCCUGUCCCUCGAGCUGCCAGAGAAAGAGGGACUUGAGGGACAGCAGAGAAUUCCGGGGAAUCAAAAGCAUGACAAGUAACACUUUUUCCCCAGUGACAGGGAGGAUUGGACCCUGGCCCUUUCACUUUGAGCUACAUCCCAUCCCUUUUUUAAAAAAAAAAAUUGAGACAGGGAAUUGCUAAACUGCUAAACUGCCAGGCUGGGCUCAAAUAGCAGGCCCCUAAGAAGCUGGGGUUAUGGGCAUGCACUGCCCACCAUACCAAACUAACCCCCCCCCGUCUCUCCCUGUCUCUCCUCUCUCUCUCUCUCUCUCUCCCUCUCCUCUCUCUCCUCUCUCUCCUCUCUGUCUCUCUCUCUCUCUCUCUUCCUUCAGUACUGGGGAUUGAACCCAGGGCCUGCAUUCCCAGUCCUUUGUCCAUUUUCAGUUCUCAGAUACUAAGCCACUGUGUUGCCCAGGCCAGAGUGCUGGGAUUGCAAGCAUGCGCCACCCAGCUUUAAAAAAAGAUUACUUUUCCAAAUUUUACUGUAUUUACACAAUAAAUGUAAAGUGGAUUUCUGAGUGUUCUUUUUCUCCUUCCUACAGUUAAGAAAAUAUAGAUCAGUAUAAGCAACUCAAUAACGUUCUCCGGAAGUGGCUGCGGGACAGGACUGUUGGUAUAGGGCACAAACACUGCCAGUCAUGCUGAUGCGAACAGUUAAGCGUUUGUGCUCAAGUCGCUUCUCAUAAAGCUAAAGUGUGUGUGCCCUACGCACUGUGCCCCUGGAGGCUUCUCCUGAAGAAAUGAAAACUUACAUUCUUGCAGCACAUCCAUGCUGUUCACAAUGGUGAGAGAUUGGAAACAAACUAAAUACGCCCAACAGGUGACAGGAGGAGAAAGGGGAGAGCAUCCAAGCCACAGAACACCUGGGACUCAGCAGGAAAAGGAGCAAGCUCCUGGUGCACACACCUGGUACAUGGGGAGAGGUGGUGCUGAGUGCAGAAGCUGACUCCACAGGCAGAGGACUAGUGCACGAACAGCCUUGGGGGACCAGCCACAGAUAGAGGGCACAGAGCUGCCGGUCAGCGGUCAUGGGACAGUGAGGUGGCCUGAGGCUGGAACUGCGCUGGAGGUAACUGGUGUGGCCCUCGUGGGAGUGGACAGGUACAGCGGAAUCACACAGAACUGAGUACCCACGGGGACCUGGUGACGGCAGACAAGGGGAGUGAAUUUUGUUGAUUUUAAUUUAUUAUUGAAAUGUUACAUUUUUAGAUAAACUUUGUUCAUAUAUAAAAUGUAAUAUUUACAUUAUUAUAUAGAUAUGCUAAUACAAACAGACUUU
rnacentral:lncRNA from 1 species